AUUGAACGCUGGCGGCAUGCUUUACACAUGCAAGUCGAGCGGCAGCGCGGGGGCAACCCUGGCGGCGAGCGGCGAACGGGUGAGUAAUGCAUCGGAACGUAUCCUCGAGUGGGGGAUAACCCAGCGAAAGUUGGGCUAAUACCGCAUGAGCUCUGAGGAGGAAAGCGGGGGACCUGCGAGGGCCUCGCGCUGGAGGAGCGGCCGAUGUCCGAUUAGCUAGUUGGUGGGGUAAAGGCUUACCAAGGCGACGAUCGGUAGCUGGUCUGAGAGGAUGAUCAGCCACACUGGGACUGAGACACGGCCCAGACUCCUACGGGAGGCAGCAGUGGGGAAUUUUGGACAAUGGGGGCAAGCCUGAUCCAGCCAUGCCGCGUGAGUGAAGAAGGCCUUCGGGUUGUAAAGCUCUUUCGGACGGAACGAAAUGGGCGGGACUAAUACUCCUGUGUGAUGACGGUACCGUAAGAAGAAGCACCGGCUAACUACGUG
rnacentral:rRNA from 1 species